rnacentral:rRNA from 1 species
GCCAAAACUCCAGCCCUAAUAUUCCUAUGUAAACCCCCCUCCUCCAUCACUACAUCAAAACAUUUUCAUAGUUUAGUAAAGGAGAUUAAAAAAUUAACAGGAGCUAUAAAACUAGUACCGCAAGGGAAAGAUGAAAUAAAAAUGAAAAACAUCAAGCAAAGAAAAGUAGAGAUUAUUACUCGUACCUUUUGCAUCAUGGUUUAACUAGUCUAAUCAAGCAAAACGAACUAAAGUUUGACCCCCCGAAACUAAGCGAGCUACUUCAAGGCAGCUAUAAGAGCCAACCCGUCUCUGUUGCAAAAGAGUGGGAAGACCUUCAAGUAGAGGUGACAGACCUAACGAGCUUAGUGAUAGCUGGUUACUCAAGAAAAGGAUUUAAGUCCAACCUAAAAUUCAACCUAUAUUACUGAAUAGAACAAUAAAUUUUAGAGCAAUUCUGUUAAGGUACAGCUUACCAGAUAAAGGAUACAACCUAAAGCAACGGGUCAUUUAUACAUAUCCUCAAACAAGUAGGCCUAAAAGCAGCCAUCUUUAAAAAAGCGUCAAAGCUUAGUUGCUACCAUAAUAAAAUUUCAUAAAAACACAACAUCCCUUCACCUGGUACUGAGUAACUCUAUAUUACUAUAGAGCCUUUUAUGUUAAAACUAGUAACAAGAAGAUACCCUUCUCUUAAAUACAAGUGUAAACCAGUAAGGAUAAGCCACUGGUACUUACCGCAAUUGAACUAAAAAUGGUAACUCAACAAGAAAAUCCCACUUUAGACAGCGUUAACCUAACACAAGAGUAUUAAAAGAAAGAUUUAAAGGGAAAGAAGGAACUCGGCAAAUUUUAACCUCGCCUGUUUACCAAAAACAUCGCCUCUCGAACACCUAUAAGAGGUCCAGCCUGCCCAGUGACUCUGUUCAACGGCCGCGGUAUCCUAACCGUGCGAAGGUAGCGUAAUCACUUGUUCUUUAAAUAAGGACUAGUAUGAAUGGCACCACGAGGGUUAUACUGUCUCCUCUCCCUAAUCAGUGAAACUAAUCUCCCCGUGAAGAAGCGGGGAUCAUCUUAUAAGACGAGAAGACCCUAUGGAGCUUCAAACUAAAUGACAACUGUUGAUAAACAUCUCAAUUUCCGCAAUAAUAAACCACAUUUAACACCAUGAUCAUUAGUUUUAGGUUGGGGUGACCGCGGAGCAAAAUACAACCUCCACACUGAAUGGAUAACUAUCCUAAUCUGAGAGCCACUACUCCAAACAUCAAAAAAUUGACACCUAUUGACCCAAUAUAUUGAUCAACGAACCAAGUUACCCUAGGGAUAACAGCGCAAUCCGCUUCAAGAGCUCCUAUCGACAAGCGGGUUUACGACCUCGAUGUUGGAUCAGGGUAUCCUAGUGGUGUAGCCGCUACUAAAGGUUCGUUUGUUCAACGAUUAAAACCCU